CCUACGGGAGGCAGCAGUGGGGAAUAUUGGGCAAUGGGCGAAAGCCUGACCCAGCAAUGCCGCGUGAAUGAAGAAGGUACUGAGUAUUGUAAACCUCUUUUGCCAGGGGACAAAGGCGGCCACGGGUGGCCGUAAGAGGGUACCUGGAGAAAAAGCAUCGGCUAACUCCGUGCCAGCAGCCGCGGUAAUACGGAGGAUGCGAGCGUUAUCCGGAUUUAUUGGGUUUAAAGGGUGCGCAGGCGGCGUGUCAAGUCAGCGGUAAAAUGUCGGGGCUCAACCCCGGCCGGCCGUUGAAACUGGCGUGCUCGAGUUGGAGAGAAGUAUGCGGAAUUCGUGGUGUAGCGGUGAAAUGCAUAGAUAUCACGAAGAACCCCGAGUGCGAAGGCAGCAUACCGGCGCCCGACUGACGCUGAGGCACGAAAGCGUGGGGAUCGAACAGGAUUAGAUACCCUAGUAGUC
rnacentral:rRNA from 1 species